rnacentral:lncRNA from 1 species
GGGGGAAGAUGGACAAAGGCAAUUGAAAAUACCAUCUGAAUUAUAUAAUUUUUUAACUUGGAAAUAAGAACUGUGAUUUUUAUGAUGAAAGGCCAUAUAAGGAUAUAGGGUUAUGUCAGAAGAGUUCUCUGUCUCCAUUUCUGCCCUUGUUUUUCCAGUUUACCACAGCCUACAACCUACUCUUACAAAUGUUUGUGAGACAACACUGAAAUGUGGUUAAGAUCCUUCCAUCAGUUACAGCAUAUGGUUCCUGGAUCCUGUCUGGAGCCUGAUCACAGGAUACCCUCAGCACAGUGUGGUUGGAAGUUCUGCCUUCCCCUGACACCAGUGAGGUGUACCGUGGAGAGCCCAAGGCCAGGAUUUUGGAGCACCACUGCUUCCUCAAAAGGACAGAAUUCAGUGUCGGAAGACAAACGAGAGUUUUCCACAAGACUUGAACACAAGACUUUUUAAGGCACUUUUGAAGUUUGAGAACAGAUU